AACGUAGGUACCGAGCGUUAUCCGGAUUUACUGGGCGUAAAGCGUGUUCAGGCGGUCUGGCAAGUCGGGCAUGAAAUCUCUCGGCUCAACCGGGAGGGGUUGUCCGAUACUGCUGGACUGGAGGGCAGCAGAGGGUGGUGGAAUUCCGGGUGUAGUGGUGAAAUGCGUAGAUAUCCGGAGGAACACCAGUGGCGAAGGCGGCCACCUGGGCUGUACCUGACGCUAACACACGAAAGCUAGGGGAGCGAACGGG
rnacentral:rRNA from 1 species